CAGUCGCCGCGGUAAUACCGAGGGUGCGAGCGUUAAUCGGAUUUACUGGGCGUAAAGCGUGCGUAGGCGGCUUCUUAAGUCGGAUGUGAAAUCCCUGAGCUUAACUUAGGAAUUGCAUUCGAUACUGGGAAGCUAGAGUAUGGGAGAGGAUGGUAGAAUUCCAGGUGUAGCGGUGAAAUGCGUAGAGAUCUGGAGGAAUACCGAUGGCGAAGGCAGCCAUCUGGCCUAAUACUGACGCUGAGGUACGAAAGCAUGGGGAGCAAACAGGAUUAGAGACCCGCGUAGUCCCUGUCUCUUAUAC
rnacentral:rRNA from 1 species